CAGUGUGUGAAUGCUCUGAUGCUCUGUCCUCUGGGGAGAACGUUUCCUCCUCAACACUCACUAGAUGUCACUGUUAGCCCAUCCUUGUGAGAGAGACGCUGACUGCGCUGAUCGCUGAGAGCGUGCCCCCCAAAAUAAAAUGCAUCAAAAUUAAAUGCAUCCCCUUGUCGUCUGAGUGAGUGGCUGGGUUUAUUAAUGAGAGUAGAGCUGAAUAGGAAUCCGGCUGUUUUGCUGCUGUUACACUGUUCUUGGAUCAGUGUUUAUCCAGUCGAAGAUCCAGUCCGACACGAGAGAGGAGCGGAGGAGCUGGGACAGCUGACCUCCUCGCGCAAACUUGAACCGCGAGAAGAAGAAGAAGUGGGGUCGUUGGGAUGGAGACAGCACCGAUCAUUUUAAUCACCUUCCUCGCCUCGCACUACACGUUCACCUGGCUCUUCAUCGCGUGGAUCCACUCCCAAAUCGUGCCACUAGACCCGACCUACCAUGGAUUGCAUAAUUGAAGUUGGGCCACCUGAUCCUGUUUGCGCCAGGACAGCCGACCGAGAUUAGAGUAAGAGAAGUCGUUAUGGACAGUUGUGCAAAUCGCUCAUUUCCUGCUCAGAGAGCUGGUGUCAAAAGCAGAGCCCCCGCCUCAGGAUACCACAUCUGCUCGACGCGCGUAAAGGACGUGGACAUAACGGUGCCAUCGCACGCCGCCUGAAACCCCCUCUCUGCUAUGUUCGAGUAAUAAUGGAGGAGAGCUGUAGUUAGAGUAGAGGCUGCGCUUGUGUGGCUGUUUUGUUUGUGCCGGCUCUGAUGUGAGAGUGGCGGACAGCCUUUUUAAUGCGCGCAUACCAACUGUGCGCCGCAGUUUGAUCCACAGGCACGGACCGUUUCCACCGCAGCAGGUCCUGCACUCUGUCACAGGCCGCUACACCCGCUGUGACAGGUUUCACGGAAAAUCUUUGUUUUAAGUCCUGUGAACUGAACUUUCACUGAAACCCAGAGAGAUUUUUUUUUUUUUUUUUUUUAAGCAGCAC
rnacentral:lncRNA from 1 species